GUAACAGAGUUCCUGCCACACUGUGUCUAGAGGACUGCAUAGCGACAGCUAAUAAGAGAGCAACAGCAAGGCAAAUGAGAAUGAGAGACACAGACUGCUUCUGCAUACAUUUGUCUAUAUAUUACUCAUUGCGGUCUAUGCUGCUUUGAGUAGCAGCUAGGAUCAAACUCAGGCUAGAAAAAGGAGAAUACUGGUAUAACACACGGGGAAUGCAGCAACUGCAUGCAGGAUAAUUUAAUUUUUCUUUUAAACUUCUGCUUUCCUACUGAAUUUUUUCCAAGACUGUAAAAAAACCUAUUUAUACUGAAUCUAUGACACUGCAUGGGAAAAUGCAACCUGUAUUUAGAAAUGUGAGAAAGGGUUUAUCUCCUAUCUGGAAAACAACCAGUUAACAGUGACAAAAACCUUAACAAGAGGAACAAGACAAUUAAUGAGAAACUUCCCUGGCAACAGAUCAAUGGGCUUUGGACACAAGUGCUUCAACCAGCACAACCACUCAAUGUUGAGAAUGACUCAACUCUCUCUAAGGAGCAUGACAUCUGUGAUUACUAUUGAUAAAUUGUAAACUCAGCCCAGGAUGAGGAUGUAUUUAUUUCAACAGGAGGGAAGAAUCUUUCUGAAGAUUAAAUUACACCAGCUUUCUCUCCAUGUGUUCUGGACUGCACGCACACACGCAGUCCCGAAGGACGUGCUGCAGAAGGCAUCCAACUUAGUGUCCUUAUAAAAAA